GAAUGAACGUGAGCAGGGUUGUCGCUGGCCUCUGUCAUAGGAGGCAUGUGCACACCUUGUUCAUUGCCACCUUCACACCUCUGUGCACUUCUCAUGGGUUGGGUUGCGCCGUUGCACUGUGCAAUGGCAAAGCCUGUCUCAUGUGCUUUUAUCACACACACUUUGUUUGUCAUAGAAUGUUACUCGUGCAUGAAUGCAUAUAAUACAACUUUCAGCAACGGAUCUCUUGGCUCU
rnacentral:misc_RNA from 1 species